UACGUAGGGGGCAAGCGUUGUCCGGAUUUAUUGGGCGUAAAGAGCGUGUAGGCGGCCAUUCAGGUCAGCUGUGAAAACUCGAGGCUCAACCUCGAGACGUCGGUUGAAACCGUUUGGCUAGAGUCCGGAAGAGGAGAGUGGAAUUCCCGGUGUAGCGGUGAAAUGCGCAGUUAUCGGGAAGAACACCCGUGGCGAAGGCGGCUCUCUGGGACGGUACUGACGCUGAGACGCGAAAGCGUGGGGAGCGAACAGG
rnacentral:rRNA from 1 species